ensembl:ncRNA F48A9.4 ncRNA
ACUAAAGAAUGUACAUGAUGAUGAAGUACAAGUUGGUGCCAGUCUCUAUCAUCUUUUUCCAUCAAAAACCUUGUAGGGACUGGGCGCCCCGAGAUGAAUGAAAAAAGAGGAAGCGAUAAAGAAACAUGUUACGUGCGGAUGAGAGUCU